CCUACGGGUGGCAGCAGUGGGGGAUAUUGCACAAUGGGGGAAACCCUGAUGCAGCGACGCCGCGUGUGGGAAGACGGUCUUCUGGAUUGUAAACCACUGUCCCCAGGGACGAAAAUGACGGUACCUGGGGAGGAAGCUCCGGCUAACUACGUGCCAGCAGCCGCGGUAAUACGUAGGGAGCAAGCGUUGUCCGGAAUUACUGGGUGUAAAGGGAGCGUAGGCGGGGAUGCAAGUUGGGGGUCAAAACUACCGGCUCAACCGAGAGUCGCACUCAAAACUGCAGCUCUUGAGUGAAGUAGAGGCAGGCGGAAUUCCUGGGGUAGCGGUGAAAUGCGUAGAUAUUAGGCGGAACACCAGUGGCGAAGGCGGCCUGCUGGGCUUUUACUGACGCUGAGGCUCGAAAGUGUGGGGAGCGAACAGGAUUAGAUACCCCGGUAGUC
rnacentral:rRNA from 1 species